rnacentral:rRNA from 1 species
UACAGAGGGUGCAAGCGUUAAUCGGAAUUACUGGGCGUAAAGCGUGCGUAGACGGUUAUGUAAGUCGGGUGUGAAAGCCCCGGGCUCAACCUGGGAAUUGCAUUCGAGACUGUGUAGCUAGGGUACGGAAGAGGGAAGCGGAAUUUCCGGUGUAGCGGUGAAAUGCGUAGAUAUCGGAAGGAACACCAGUGGCGAAAGCGGCUUCCUGGUCCAGCACCGACGUUCAGGCACGAAAGCGUGGGGAGCAAACAGG